rnacentral:rRNA from 1 species
UACGAAGGGGGCUAGCGUUGUUCGGAAUUACUGGGCGUAAAGCGCACGUAGGCGGAUAUUUAAGUCAGGGGUGAAAUCCCGCAGCUCAACUGAGGAACUGCCUUUGAUACUGGGUAUCUUGAGUAUGGAAGAGGUAAGUGGAAUUCCGAGUGUAGAGGUGAAAUUCGUAGAUAUUCGGAGGAAGCCCAGUGGCGAAGGCGGCUUACUGGUCCAUUACUGACGCUGAGGUGCGAAAGCGUGGGGAGCAAACAGG